rnacentral:rRNA from 2 species
GCAUAUCAAUAAGCGGAGGAAAAGAAACCAACAGGGAUUGCCCUAGUAACGGCGAGUGAAGCGGCAACAGCUCAAAUUUGAAAUCUGGCUCUCUUUGGGGGUCCGAGUUGUAAUUUGCAGAGGAUGCUUUGGCAUUGGCGGCGGUCUAAGUUCCUUGGAACAGGACAUCACAGAGGGUGAGAAUCCCGUACGUGGUCGCCUGCCCUUGCCGUGUAAAGCUCCUUCGACGAGUCGAGUUGUUUGGGAAUGCAGCUCUAAAUGGGAGGUAAAUUUCUUCUAAAGCUAAAUACUGGCCAGAGACCGAUAGCGCACAAGUAGAGUGAUCGAAAGAUGAAAAGUACUUUGGAAAGAGAGUCAAAAAGCACGUGAAAUUGUUGAAAGGGAAGCGCUUGCAGCCAGACUUGCCCGCAGUUGCUCACCUAGGCUUUCGCCUGGGGCACUCUUCUGCGGGCAGGCCAGCAUCAGUUUGGGCGGUUGGAUAAAGGCCUCUGUCACGUAUCUCCCUUCGGGGUGACCUUAUAGGGGAGGCGCAAUGCAACCAGCCCGGACUGAGGUCCGCGCAUCUGCUAGGAUGCUGGCGUAAUGGCUGUAAGCGGCCCGUCUUGAAACACGGACCAAGGAGUCUAACAUCUAUGCGAGUGUUUGGGUGUCAAGCCCGAGCGCGCAAUGAAAGUGAACGGAGGUGGGAACCCUUUGGGUGCACCAUCGACCGAUCCUGAUGUCUUCGGAUGGAUUUGAGUAAGAGCAUAGCUGUUGGGACCCGAAAGAUGGUGAACUAUGCUUGAAUAGGGUGAAGCCAGAGGAAACUCUGGUGGAGGCUCGCAGCGGUUCUGACGUGCAAAUCGAUCGUCAAAUUUGGGCAUAGGGGCGAAAGACUAAUCGAACCAUCUAGUAGCUGGUUCCUGCCG